CGCGCAGGUGGUUUCUUAAGUCUGAUGUGAAAUCCCCGAGCUUAACUUGGGAAUUGCAUUCGAUACUGGGAAGCUAGAGUAUGGGAGAGGAUGGUAGAAUUCCAGGUGUAGCGGUGAAAUGCGUAGAGAUCUGGAGGAAUACCGAUGGCGAAGGCAGCCAUCUGGCCUAAUACUGACGCUGAGGUACGAAAGCAUGGGGAGCAAACAGGAUUAGAUACCCGGGUA
rnacentral:rRNA from 1 species